rnacentral:piRNA from 1 species
UGGCAAAUUGUACCACAUUCAGCUCUUGU